AGUGAACGCUGGCGGUAGGCCUAACACAUGCAAGUCGAACGGCAGCACAGUAAGAGCUUGCUCUUACGGGUGGCGAGUGGCGGACGGGUGAGGAAUACAUCGGAAUCUACUUUUUCGUGGGGGAUAACGUAGGGAAACUUACGCUAAUACCGCAUACGACCUACGGGUGAAAGCAGGGGAUCUUCGGACUUUGCGCGAUUGAAUGAGCCGAUGUCGGAUUAGCUAGUUGGCGGGGUAAAGGCCCACCAAGGCGACGAUCCGUAGCUGGUCUGAGAGGAUGAUCAGCCACACUGGAACUGAGACACGGUCCAGACUCCUACGGGAAGCAGCAGUGGGGAAUAUUGGACAAUGGGCGCAAGCCUGAUCCAGCCAUACCGCGUGGGUGAAGAAGGCCUUCGGGUUGUAAAGCCCUUUUGUUGGGAAAGAAAAGCAGCAGGUUAAUACCCCGCUGUUCUGACGGUACCCAAAGAAUAAGCACCGGCUAACUUCGUG
rnacentral:rRNA from 1 species